rnacentral:misc_RNA from 1 species
CCACCGCUCACACACCCCACGAGUGAGCCUGCGCCUGCCAACGAAAAAGCUAAGGACUGAACUUUUGUUUCACAGCCACCUAUUCCACUGCUUCCGCUCUCCGUUCGAGUUCAUCUUGAUGCUCCGUCGCUGUGCGCCUCUGCUCAUCGGCUUCGAGGGCGACACCUUCGUCUCCGCCAUAAAGGACAAGCAAUACCUUGCCCACCGCCUCGCCAUUCUCGGCAAGGAAGACCCUAAUUUCAAGGUGCAGCGCAUGUCAGACGAUGAUAUCAAGCGCUUCACCACGUCGCUCGGGUCGGCCGAGUCACUCUUCAACAAGCAGGCCGGCGCCAUCCCUACCAACGUUGUGGACGAGGAGACCGGCCGCGUGAUUGGCAGCACGCAGCCGGACCCGACGCGCUACGGGGACUGGGAGGUGAAUGGGCGCUGCUACGACUUCUGAGAAGCGUGCGAGAAGGCGGGGGAGGGGAACCUGAAGGAGGAGCUACGGCGGCGACGGCUCAGGCCCAGUACACACGCGCACACACGAGCGCUUUCACGUAUGCCGGAGUAGAUAGGCACACUAUUUCCAAAGAGGUCAUUGUCUCUCUCUCUCUCUCUCGCUUUCACACGUCCUGCAGCUCUCCUCUACGCCCCGGCGCGGCUGUCUUUCCCCUCCAGAGGUGCCGCGCAACGGCUGUGUGUUGUCCGCAUCGUAUCUCAAUGGAGGAGAGUUGAACAAAACCGCAGCAUCAUCCAGCAGUGCGCUGUAGGCACCGCAGAGGUGCUGGGGUGAGGCGUGGGGCGAGUCGGUGAGGGCCGGUGACGCAGCGGCAGCUGAGCAGAUUGUUUGUCUUACGCACGGCUCAUCUUCGUGUUCCUCUUCUUCUCACGCAUGUCCGCCUCGCUUUCACGCGUGCUCUAACUCUUACAGACUUGCGCUAUACGGCGGUGCAGGAUAUGAUUACUGAGCGAUCCUGUCCGGUGCUGGACCACCGUUGCCAGUGAUAACGGGGCAAACAAG